ACUACCUGUCACAUUUUAUGCCUUCCAAUGCUUGCUUUGGCUUCGAGUGUGUCGUGCAGGCUGAACAUUCAUUGCAGCAAGGUGCACAUGGUUUUGCUCGAAUUUUGACUUUUUUCAACAUCCGAAAUAGCAAAAUUACUUGUGUUUAGCACAAAUCUUCUACAAGAUGAAGCAUACCUUGUCCGCAAUUGCAACGAAAGAUUCUCGCUGGUAUGGUUUGCAAGGUGAAGGGUUACAUGUCGAUGCCACAAACCUUGUCCGCAAUUGCAACCGAAGAUUUUUGGAUGAACCGCAAGAUGAUUUGAUGAAGGCUUUCAGUUGUCCAGGCCAGGCCAGGUGACCAAUGACAAUGAUAGAUCGGGUUCGAUUCAAGCUAUACGCUUGGUGUAUUUGGUUAUCGUGACUGGCGACUUGAGUCUAUCUCAUCUCAUGUCCAAAGCGCGGUGGCUGGGUCCCAGGCAUGCUUGCCACUUUGUUCCACGGUCCUCAUCUAAGUUUCGACGGUGAUGACAUGGACUUAGGUUCAAAGUACGUGUUCCCCUUGAGUCAUUGUGGUUGAUUGAUGGGGGCAAUAAACGGUUGCGUGUCGCUAGUCAUUCAAUUGGUCCCCUUGUUUUAGAGUGUUGGCGGGAUAAGUCUUACGACUGUUGACAAUAGUAAGCAAUAGCUGGCCAGCGAUCCCCUACCUGAUCUCGAGGGGGAUGGAAUGACUGGGGUUGAGACCUGUUGUUAGCCUGCGGAAUUUCGUCGGACGAAAUGUCAGGCGUGUCCGUGUGGUACUUGUGCUAAACCAGUUUAGUACUAUUGACGAAGACAUUGGGCUCUUUGGAUAACAACAGUGUUCUUAACCUCCUUGUGCCUCACAAAGCUAAUAAUAUACACCCCCUGAAAUCGACAAGACGGCGAUGAAGAAGGAGAGCCGGCCUCCAACUCGUCAGCCGAGAAGACACUGGAUGGACCGCAAGAAUAUGUUGCUGCCAAUGUUGGAGCCAUACAGGGCAGCCCAAUCCAACAUUGUACAAGGGCCACAAGGUCCAGGGCCACAAGGACAAGGGACACAAGGACGAGGGACACAAGGACAAGGGACACAAAAGACGUUGUUGCAGUCUACAGGAUUGAGAUGAUGGCUGUCGAGAAGAUCCAACCACUUCACCAAGAUCUACAAUUCGUGCUAUGGUAGAUGUGACUCUCAAAGAUUUUGGAUGACGAAGGAAUCCAAAGCAUAUAUGUCGCUCACAGAUACAGGCAGACAAUUGAGAUUCGAGUGGAUUCAGUGGAUCGAAUGGUUGCGCUGAGGAAUAUCCAUGUGCAGGAGUGACGAACCACAGUUCAGCAAACGAUGCCUUGACAGACCAAUUCAAGGAGAACUUUCGCUAAGAUCACGAAGGGAACGUGUUUGCUGUGUGGAUCGAUUGGACACCUAAAUGUCCGUCAUUCUAAUAGACCAUACUGACAAUCUUCUAAUGGACUAUAAUGACAAUCCAACUCCAAAGGGACUCUCUGGACUGAGGGAAAGCUACGGACAUAGGGCCCCGACAUGAUAUCCUGCAGCCACCAUGAGGACGGCCUAUCUCAUACCUUCGGAAGGAUGCCAUCACGCGCAUGAUGAGCCAUCCCACAGAAGGGAGAAGGAUGUUGUUGACCCAGCACAUCCCAACCAUGCUCCCAUCGCCGUCAAGUAACAGUACGACGGUUAGAUUGUAUAUUGUCACCGUAGGCUUUAUUGUUUUCAAUUUUCUUAUUGUUUUUUAAAAUAUCUGAUCGAAAGGUGAUUUAAUGAAAAUUCAAAUUUUUCUGAUGGUGAAAGGGCAAAUAUUUACCUUGCUUAUGACAAGCGUAGAUUAUUUUAAUCUAUGUUUGGUUGUGACCAUGACUUGUGCCAUGGAUCAAAAUCUUACACUUUUCAAAGAAGGUAUUGAAAUUAUGGGGGGGUUGGGUUGUUUCUGGCUAACAAGGGAGCCAAUGAUAAGGCACACCAGAACCUAAACAAAAUAAUUUUCAAGCUAAAUUUUGUGCUUAAGAUAUUAAAGAAGAAACAACAAUUUGGGGGGGGAUUGGUUGUUUGUGGUUACCAGAGAAGCCAACAGCCGCCUUGGGCAUAUGAGGACCCUGAAAUUCUUUUCAGGGAAAAGUUAUUUCCUGCUUAAAAAUCACCGAAUUCAUCAGAUAUUUAUUUAAUUACUGGUAUAUCCAUCACUUUAGACAUGGGGUCCAUGUGUUGUUGUUUCGCUGACCCCACGAAACAAGAACACAUGUGUCUGAUGGAACUGUAGGCCUUUCAUACUGUUUCUCAAUCUCAUCAGUACCACAUAAUCAACUGACAUAACCUGGGCUCCGAUGCCCCGGACCUUACAUUACACUGGCUGGCUCAGUUGCUCAAUACAUGUACCUUCAUGCUCGAGACAAAUGACCAACAGUGAUAUGUUGAAUUUGAAUUUCCUCCUUUUUGAAAUGCCAAAAUAUCUUUCAAGUUGAACUAAAACAGUUCGAUAAUCUCUCACUGUUUUAUUGAAAAUUUAAAGACUGAUCCUUCCUAGUGGUCACACAGUGAGCCGUUCUCAAAGCGUGUCAUUAGACAAUGGUGUCAUGCAUGCAUGUUUUGUUACGGCUUACCAGGGAC